GGCAACUUGUGGGAGCAAAGAUGGAAGACUACCAGGGCUCGGAGGAGACUGCUUUUGUUGUUGAUGAAGUGAGCAACAUUGUAAAAGAGGCCAUAGGGAGCGCCAUUGGAGGCAAUGCUUACCAGCACAGCAAAGUCAAUCAGUGGACCACCAACGUAGUGGAGCAGACUCUAAGCCAGCUCACCAAGCUGGGGAAGCCAUUUAAGUACAUUGUGACAUGUGUAAUUAUGCAGAAGAACGGAGCUGGAUUACACACAGCGAGUUCCUGCUUCUGGGACAGCAAUACGGAUGGGAGCUGCACCGUGCGAUGGGAGAACAAGACCGUGUACUGCAUCGUCAGCACCUUCGGGCUGUCCAUCUGACCUCUGGAGCAAGCCUGUGACCUCGUCUUCUCAGCAUUUCUGUCCCAUCUUCUAACCACCAACCAUGAAUUCAGUGACACCUUCUUCCUCUAUUAUGUUUUGUGGCACUCUCAAAAUGUAAAGGAAUAAACCAAAUGACUGCUGUGCGUGAGCCACACAAUCUUAGUCUCUGUGGGUAGCUCUGGAGCCUGUAUGGCCACCUGUCUUAACUCUGUGUUUCUUUUCCAAGGUGCUAAAAACUGAAUUCUGCAAGUGGGAAAUGCUAUUCUUUGAAAUGAUUAAUUUU